rnacentral:rRNA from 1 species
UACGAAGGGGGCGAGCGUUGUUCGGAAUUACUGGGCGUAAAGGGCGCGUAGGCGGCCGAUCAAGUCAGAUGUGAAAGUCCUGGGCUUAACCUGGGGACUGCAUUUGAUACUGAUUGGCUUGAAUUCGGGAGAGGAUAGCGGAAUUCCCAGUGUAGAGGUGAAAUUCGUAGAUAUUGGGAAGAACACCGGUGGCGAAGGCUGCUAUCUGGCCCGAUACUGACGCUGAGGCACGAAAGCGUGGGGAGCAAACAGG